ACAUAAGUAUGUAAAUAGAUAAUUAUCUCAGAAUAAAGAAAAUAACAAUAAUAGCAAAUAAUGAACACUGCAAAGUUUCUAAAACCACUGCGCGAAAGGUCUCCAUGGAGUUGCUGAAAAUGUCCACCGAGUCAUUUUUCAUCACAGUUAUUUUACAUUCGUCAGAUUUGUAAUUUUUAUUGUUAAAAAAAAACGCCUUUUACUAUUCAUAAAUUGAACAUAUGCCUAGAAAUUAAUUCAGACUAUUUAAUUAUACACUUAAUUUCACACUAAAGCAGUUUCUCGAGCUUUAAAUUGGCCAAUUUAUCGCAUUUGAUAUUUGGAAUGGGUCGUUUCAUUUGUCUAAUCGUAUUAAUAAUAGCAGAAAGCCACCAAACAGAAUACAUUACUUUAGACGUGGAAGACCCCUUUCACUUUGAACCAGAAGUUAAGGAUAGUCAAGAUAUGCUUGCUAUAGACAAGUACAAAGCUAAUGAAUUAAAGCAAAUUGGUAGCGAUUCAAAUGAGCACGAGCCGCAAGACAAAACAUUUCGUAGAAUCGAAUUAGCCGUGGCAAACUACAUAUGUCGCCAACAACGCGAAAGUCGUAACAAAAUGGUUGAAAGAACAAAAGGUAACAUAAAGAACAAAAAACUAAAGAAGUUCUUUCCCGUUAAAAAAUUGAACCAUAACAAAAAUGUAGUAGAAGAUGAAUUUAUGGAACUGAACGAAUUAUUACAAUACACCCAGCGUUUCAUCUUUUAAAUCAACUAGAAUUAAACUUCAUCUAAAGGC